AUACGGAGGGUGCAAGCGUUGUUCGGAAUUACUGGGCGUAAAGCGCGCGUAGGCGGUCUGUUAUGUCAGAUGUGAAAGUCCUCGGCUCAACCGGGGAAGUGCAUUUGAAACUGGCAGACUUGAGUACUAGAGGGGGUGGUGGAAUUCCCGGUGUAGAGGUGAAAUUCGUAGAUAUCGGGAGGAAUACCGGUGGCGAAGGCGACCACCUGGCCAGAUACUGACGCUGAGGUGCGAAAGCGUGGGGAGCAAACAGGAUUAGAAACCCCAGUAGUCC
rnacentral:rRNA from 1 species